GCCUCUGUAGCUCAGUGGAUAGAGCAUCCCCCUCCUAAGGGGAGGGUCGUAGGUUCGAUUCCUACCGGAGGCGCCA
rnacentral:tRNA from 2 species